GACGAACGCUGGCGGCGCGCUUAACACAUGCAAGUCGAGCGAAGCGGCGGACGGGUGAGUAACACGUGAGUAACCUGCCUUAGACAUUGGGAUAGCCUCGGGAAACCGGGAUUAAUACCAAAUGGUCUAAGAUGGACUCGCGUCCCAUUAGCUAGUUGGUGAGGUAACGGCCCACCAAGGCGACGAUGGGUAGCCGGCCUGAGAGGGUGAACGGCCACAUUGGGACUGAGAAACGGGCCAAACUCUAGGGGAGGCAGCAGUGGGGAAUAGUGCGAAAUGGAGGGAACGCUGAUGCGGCGACGCCGCGUGAACGAAGAAGGCUUUCGAGUCGCAAAGUUCUUUUAUAUGGGAAGCGGUACCAUAAGAAAAAGCCCCGGCUAACUACGUGCCAGCCGCCGCGGUAAUUC
rnacentral:rRNA from 1 species